UACAGAGGUCCCAAGCGUUGUUCGGAUUCACUGGGCGUAAAGGGUGCGUAGGUGGUGAGGUAAGUCGGAUGUGAAAUCUCGGAGCUUAACUCCGAAAUGGCAUUGGAAACUACCUCGCUAGAGGAUCGGAGGGGAGACUGGAAUUCUCGGUGUAGCAGUGAAAUGCGUAGAUAUCGAGAGGAACACCAGUGGCGAAGGCGGCAUCCUGGACCAACACUGACACUGAGGAGCGAAAGCCAGGGGAGCAAACGGG
rnacentral:rRNA from 1 species